rnacentral:rRNA from 1 species
UUGCCUUAGUAGCGGCGAGUGAAGCGGCAAAAGCUCAAAUUUGAAAUCUGGCACCUUCGGUGUCCGAGUUGUAAUUUGAAGAUUGUAACCUUGGGGUUGGCUCUUGUCUAUGUUUCUUGGAACAGGACGUCACAGAGGGUGAGAAUCCCGUGCGAUGAGAUGCCCAAUCCUAUGUAAGGUGCUUUCGAAGAGUCGAGUUGUUUGGGAAUGCAGCUCUAAGUGGGUGGUAAAUUCCAUCUAAAGCUAAAUAUUGGCGAGAGACCGAUAGCGAACAAGUACAGUGAUGGAAAGAUGAAAAGAACUUUGAAAAGAGAGUGAAAAAGUACGUGAAAUUGUUGAAAGGGAAGGGUUUGAGAUCAGACUCGAUAUUUUGUGAGCCUUGCCUUCGUGGCGGGGUGACCCGCAGCUUAUCGGGCCAGCAUCGGUUUGGGCGGUAGGAUAAUGGCGUAGGAAUGUGACUUUGCUUCGGUGAAGUGUUAUAGCCUGCGUUGAUGCUGCCUGCCUAGACCGAGGACUGCGAUUUUAUCAAGGAU